CCUACGGGGGGCAGCAGUGAGGAAUAUUGGUCAAUGGGCGUAAGCCUGAACCAGCCAAGUCGCGUGAGGGAUGAAGGUUCUAUGGAUCGUAAACCUCUUUUAUAAGGGAAUAAAGUGCGGGACGUGGCCCGUUCUGUAUGUACCUUAUGAAUAAGGAUCGGCUAACUCCGUGCCAGCAGCCGCGGUAAUACGGAGGAUCCGAGCGUUAUCCGGAUUUAUUGGGGUUAAAGGGUGAGUAGUGGGCCUUUUAAGUCAGCGGGUAAAGUGUGUGGCUCAACCAUAGAGUUGCCGUUGAAACUGGGGGGCUUGAGUAUGUUUGAGGCAGGCGGAAUGCGUGGUGUAGCGGUGAAAUGCUUAGAUAUCACGCAGAACCCCGAUUGCGAAGGCAGCCUGCCAAGCCAUGACUGACGCUGAUGCACGAAAGCGUAGGGAUCAAACAGGAUUAGAUACCCCUGUAGUC
rnacentral:rRNA from 1 species